rnacentral:lncRNA from 1 species
CCCUGCGCUCUGACGCAAAUUUGGUGGUUCAAGCGGUUUCAAGAUCCUCGGGCGAUCAGUCCAGCCAGCUCCGUUACAUAGCAACCAUGCCUAUCAAUGCAGAGACCGUCAACCUUGCCGCCACGUAUAUGAUCCUCGUCAUCCUUCUCUUCUUCCUCUGGCUACUCUACUCCACCGUCUUCUAGCAUCCGUAAGCUGUUCAACAACUCAAACUUGAGACCAAUCCAAGAUGGCGGUCAACAAACGCUAUAAAAACAUUUAAUAUUUAGGAAACCGUAAUUUUAGUAAAUAAGUUAAUCGUAAGUUUAAGCAUUGUACACCCAAGCAUUUAAAUAAUUUAAAACCAUGGACAAGACUAGAGGGGUCACAUAGCAUGGAACAAAACACCAGUCAACGUGAACAUUUGACAGUGCUGGGCAUUCCAAUAUGAAUAAAGUCAAAACUAAAAAUAACCAAUGUGAAAGACAACACGUUAUGGAAAAAUAUCUAAUUUCAGAGAAAUGUUAUUGAGUUAGCUAAUUUAUUGUUGAUGUUCGGUACAAAUCAUCUCGUUAAAGAAUUGAUCGUUGUUAUAUGAGAUAAGAGAGUUUUUGUAAUAAAGGUUUUAUAGAA